rnacentral:rRNA from 1 species
UACGUAGGUGUCAAGCGUUGUCCGGAUUUAUUGGGCGUAAAGCGCCCGCAGGCGGCUUGCCAAGUUCGAUGUGAAAUCUCCCGGCUCAACUGGGAGGGUGCAUCGAAAACUGGCAGGCUUGAGGCAGGGAGAGGGAUGUGGAAUUCCAGGUGUAGUGGUGAAAUGACGUAGAUAUCUGGAGGAACACCCGUAGCGAAGGCGGCACUCUGGGCCGAUACUGACGCUGAGGAGCGAAAGCGUGGGGAACGAACAGG